rnacentral:piRNA from 1 species
UGGGAAGUUUGUAGUCUAAUCCUGGUUUC